rnacentral:rRNA from 1 species
UACGUAGGAUGCAAGCGUUGUUCGGAAUUACUGGGCGUAAAGAGUACGUAGGCGGUUUGAUAAGUCUGAUAUUAAAUACAGAAGCUUAACUUCUGAACUGUAUCGGAAACUGUCAGACUAGAGGACAAUAGAGGAAGUGGGAAUUCUCAGUGUAGCGGUGAAAUGCGUAGAUAUUGGGAAGAACACCAGUGGCGAAAGCGCACUUCUGGGUUGUUACUGACGCUGAGGAGCGAAAGCGUGGGGAGCGAACAGG